UGUGGCUGCUCAAGAGUUUAAUGAUGUCGCUUCAAAUGGGACCCACAGGGAAACAGGAGAGACUCACUACUAUCACCUUACUAUUGUCACACACUGGAAUACAGUUUCAGACAGGCUCCACAGAUACCGACCUUCCUGAUAACCACAUAUGACUAACGCAGGCUGGAGAAAAUAAUGUGCUGUAACACCUCAAGAAAAGGGACACUGAGGCAGGCAACACAACUGCAUUGUAAAACUGGAACAACAGUUCAAGAUAAAACAGAGAUAUCACAUAUAGAAGAUGUUGACAAAUCUGAUUGUAUUUGACAUAUGACCCACUUUUGUGGUGUGCAUUAUUUUGUCUACCCCCACUGGAUCUUUAAUCAAAUUGGGCUUUCUUCUCCAUUGGUCUCGUCUCACAUUAAUCAACGUUCUGUCUAGAUUAUAAUACAGCCAUUGUACAUGACAGGCCCCAGAAUUUAAUCUACAGUGGAGCGGUAAAUGAGAUGCCCUUCACAGCCGAUGUGACAGCACCUUCUAUGUGCUGCACGCCUUCCCUUGAACCACCUAGCCUUGAGCGGGGUCACUCAGCUGGAAUGGAUUCGCACAGGACAAGGUCGGAGGUUCAAACAAGCACAUCUCAUCAAACGGUGACAUGUUAAAGUGUUCAGAGUGAAGGGGUGCGCUGAAGAUGGUGUCUGUGUUUAAUGGAGGGCACUGCUUCCUUCAGCCUCAACUUUCUCGGUACUAAGGCACACUCACAAGCACAUACCCCCUCAGCAGAAAUUCACCUAAUGCAGGGGACAUCUGUCUGAUCAAGGAUGAAGGAUACAGAAAGGAUGAUGCCGGCCACUCUUACUGGAAACUUGCUCUGAGUGAUACUGUCACUCUUUUGGUUUACUUUGUCAGUGUGGGCGUCAAACUACUCUGUAGGUGGAUUUGGCUCUGUUUGAACAUAACUUGCCUUAGGGAGAACUGCAAUAUAGUGGAUUUACUUAAUGGGAAUCUGUCCAUCACCAUUUCUCAACUUGCUGUGCAUUCAAUUACCACGCUGCCUGCCUGGCUGCCUGUAAUUAUACUGAUCUGGCCAACAGAGCUUUCAAGUUCAAACGGGUGUGUGUAAGUAUAACGGUGGUGGUGGAUGGAGGGCAUCCCUAGAGUUUAUUAUAAGAGAGGACGGUCAUGUGUCAUUGGAGUUGCUGCAGUGCCAGCAUCCCCGAGGACUUCAGCUCCUAACAGCAAGAGGAACCGCAGUGAUUAAGCAGGACGAUGUGCUUGCAAAUUGAUUGCCACAAAGAAAUUAAUCUCCUUUGUAGGGAAGGGAAGCACGCCAGUCAUGUAAUUUCUCUUUGUUGAUUUUAAGAGUGCUUCUCAUAAACAUCUGUCUAUGAAACACUCAAGAAAUCCACAGUCAUGUUGUGUGCAGGACUUUGGCAAUAGACACGGGAUUUGGAGGCACCGGGGCCUAAAUGAAGACAGACACAUUUGCCCACACAGUCACCACCCUCUGGUCAGGCUGUCAGCAUCAAUCAGUGUGCGUAAUAUUUUAAUAGGCUGGGGUAAU